CACGUAGGGGCCAAGCGUUGUCCGGAUUUAUUGGGCGUAAAGAGCGUGUAGGCGGCCAUGUAGGUCCGUUGUGAAAACUCGAGGCUCAACCUCGAGACGCCGAUGGAAACCAUGUGGCUAGAGUCCGGAAGAGGAGAGUGGAAUUCCUGGUGUAGCGGUGAAAUGCGCAGAUAUCAGGAAGAACACCCGUGGCUAAGGCGGCUCUCUAGUACGGUACUGACGCUGAGACGCGAAAGCGUGGGGAGCGAACAGG
rnacentral:rRNA from 1 species